UUCAUUAACUUCAACAACUCUAUAGAAACGGUUUUCUCUUCUCCUUUCUCUUUUUUUUCUUUUUUUUCUUUUUUAGAAGAAGUAUGUAUUGACAUGUAUUGACAUCCUUCUAUUUCUUUCAUUUAUUUAUUUAUUUUAUUUUUUCUGCCAAUUUCUGAUAUAUUACAAACAUAGUUAUUCAAACCCACAUAACUCCAAAUAAGAAUCUUUCAAC
rnacentral:lncRNA from 1 species